GACGAACGCUGGCGGCGUGCCUAAUACAUGCAAGUUGAGCGCUGAAGGUUGGUACUUGUUCCAACUGGCUGAGCAGCGAACGGGUGAGUAACGCGUGGGGAAUCUGCCUUUGAGCGGGGGACAACAUUUGGAAACGAAUGCUAAUACCGCAUAACAACUUUAAACACAAGUUUUAAGUUUGAAAGAUGCAAUUGCAUCACUCAAAGAUGAUCCCGCGUUGUAUUAGCUAGUUGGUGAGGUAAAGGCUCACCAAGGCGAUGAUACAUAGCCGACCUGAGAGGGUGAUCGGCCACAUUGGGACUGAGACACGGCCCAGACUCCUACGGGAGGCAGCAGUAGGGAAUCUUCGGCAAUGGACGAAAGUCUGACCGAGCAACGCCGCGUGAGUGAAGAAGGUUUUCGGAUCGUAAAGCUCUGUUGGUAGAGAAGAACGUUGGUGAGAGUGGAAAGCUCAUCAAGUGACGGUAACUACCCAGAAAGGGACGGCUAACUACGUG
rnacentral:rRNA from 1 species